CCUACGGGAGGCAGCAGUGAGGAAUAUUGGUCAAUGGACGAGAGUCUGAACCAGCCAAGUAGCGUGAAGGAUGACUGCCCUAUGGGUUGUAAACUUCUUUUAUAUGGGAAUAAAAUGUUCCACGUGUGGGAUUUUGUAUGUACCAUAUGAAUAAGGAUCGGCUAACUCCGUGCCAGCAGCCGCGGUAACACGGAGGAUCCGAGCGUUAUCCGGAUUUAUUGGGUUUAAAGGGAGCGUAGGUGGGUUGUUAAGUCAGUUGUGAAAGUUUGCGGCUCAACCGUAAAAUUGCAGUUGAAACUGGCAGUCUUGAGUACAGUAGAGGUGGGCGGAAUUCGUGGUGUAGCGGUGAAAUGCUUAGAUAUCACGAAGAACUCCGAUUGCGAAGGCAGUUCACUGGACUGCAACUGACACUGAGGCUCGAAAGUGUGGGUAUCAAACAGGAUUAGAUACCCGAGUAGUC
rnacentral:rRNA from 1 species